GUAGAUACAAACUAGAGGAGCAAAUGAGCACUGUUUCAAAAGCUUUAAGAAAAUUAGGUGUCAAGCGAUCUGAAGAGAAAGUAUUCUGGGUGGACGUGAAGAAUUGAUACAUGCAGCACAACCCUAAACAAAAAGGAGAUUGGGAGUGUGGAUUUUUUGUGAUGCUAUAUAUGAAGCA